CAAGCUGAGAAUUUUCUGGUAACAAAUGAUACAGAAUACGGAUGUUUUUGGUAAAAUAAAAACAAAACAAAACAAAAACUCAUUCUAUAUAUUUCACAUCCUCCUGAACAAGACAAAAAGGAAAUUUGACUUAGUAUUAACCUGGGAAUCUGGUCAGAAAUAAUAUUGCUUCCUCUGAAACAGUAAUGCUAAAGGGGAAGAAAAAAAGAAUAAGGAAAAGAGACAAGAGAAUUCUACAGAGUUUAAACAACCUAAUGUAACGUUGAGAUUCAGAGGGGAAAAUGAGCAUCUGUGACAGCUGACUAGAUCCUUGUGUACUUUGAUAGGAAAUAAGUAACAUAUGAUACCCAUUCAGUUAGGGAAUUCUGUGUUCAGUUUUCUUAUUAAACACUGUAAUCACAGAUCUUCCCAUAUUGAAGGUAAACAUUCUUUAAUAUUAUAAUCAAAAGCUUGAAUAUGUUUUGCUGAAAACACUCUAAAGGGGUAAGUGUAAGAGAACAAAAGGAAACAUUUGAUAUCCCUAAAACACAGUCUUUGGGGAUAAGAAACACACGGUCCCUAAACUGAUGGUGGAGGAAGAACAAUACUCAGCAGGGGAAAGGAGAGGCUUUUUAAUAAGUGUGGCUCUGGAUCUCCUUAAUCAAAGAAGACAUGCUCACAGCAUUCAGGGCCAACAAUGCCUACCAGUUGAGUGGAUUCUGAAGUAUUUAAUUCAUAUGAAUGUGACCUCACUCUUGAGGGCCUAUACAUAGGUGAGUAUAGUAGAGUGUCAAAAAUAGUGAUUUUAUUUGUUCAAAAAUUUACUUACUAUGUGUC
rnacentral:lncRNA from 12 species